UUACAUUUCUUCCAAAUAUAACCCCCAAAUCCAUUACUUCUUUGCCCUCAGGAAACCUAGACGUCCCUCACAAUCAAUCGGAAGAGUGAAUAUCAAGCACACAAAACGUCCAAUUUCAUUCAUGACUGAAAGAGCCUGCAUAACCCCCAUUAAAUAGUCCUCUCAAAUCCCCCCUGCAGGUCCAGGUUUCCGCGACAGUGACUACGCGCAGGUUCCCCACCUCACUAAGCCUCUUUAUUGAAGUUAAAAAAUUUCAAAGAUCCCAAUCAAAGAAAAUCAACAACCCCUUCAAAGAUCCCAAUCAGAUUAUUGAUGUAUGUUGUUUGAGUAAUUUUAGUGAUUUUUUGCAAGUUCUUCGUAUUCUGUUUAUAAUCAAUAGGCAUCUGGGUGUGUCAAGAAUUCCUUGCAUCAGUGGUUGUUGUAUCAAAGAUUCUACCUUCUCACCAACACAAACAACGAUAAUUCCUUUAAGCUUUCAUCAAUGGCGCUUCAACAUCUGCUGAUGUCAUAUAAACAAGAAAGAGGUUGAGCUAGAUAGAUACUGAUUCCUAAUGGCAGCAGUUUUACCCAACGCUAUUUAAUGGUUGCAAACCUAAGUACGGGACCGUCGGGUUGAUGACCAUAAAGAUGAUGUGGCAUAUGAUCGGAAACUCGAACGAAGAGAGGAAGAUCGUCAUAGGGAGAUACUACGUGAACGAGAACGUGAAAGAGAACGGGACCGCUCGCGUGAACACAACAGGAACAAGAACGGGAACAGGAGCGGGAACGAGACCGUAGGAAGGAACGUGAAAGACGGGAGAGGGAAAGAGAACGGAUGGGGGUACCCUACAUUAAUCAACAAUAGAUUAAAAAAAAUAGAAAAUAGCCAUCUGUCAAAAUAGAAAAUAGGUCGUUGUAGUUCAAGAAUCAAUUGUCCCUUUAUAGUUUGUAUUGACAAGCAUUUAUUCGUUUUCAGGUCGUGUACAUGCCUGGACCAAGUUUUUGGAUGUGCGGAAUUCAUUUGCUCAAUUUUAAGUCGAAACAUUGAUAACCAAGGUGUUCCAGGGAGUCCGGCCGGUGGGAGUCAUGAAAGCGGUUGUGAACACUCGAAUUCCAACAUCCGAGAGCAGGAUAGGAGCUAACAUAAGCCAUCAGUUUGUGAGUUCAUCAGUUUCGUCACAAGCGAGUACAUAUGUCUGUUUCAUCACCAGCGAGUAUGUGCAUAUGGAUAGAUAUAAUAACAUAAAAAAGACGGGCUUUGACUUAUUCAGUUGACUUAAACAUCUAACAUGGCUUGAAGUACUUAACUUUUGUCUGCUGGUUUUGGAUUCGUGUUGAAAAGAGUAAAGCCAAACACCGUGCUUGCCUGAAAAUGAUGAGGUGUUGGUUAUCAAAAGUUGGGCAUAAAAAUGGAAGGUCGAGGCACUAAAAAAGCCGGGGUAGUCAUCUACCUUUAAAAGCCUUCCUGGUACAUGCAUGGAAUCUUAACGAGCAUGAAGUUCUUCGCAGCUGCUCCUUUGCUCAUACCGUAGUCAUGGUUAAUAUCUUGCCAAAAAUCUUGUAUAAAUUGCAUUUGUACUCCGGUUCAUAAAAUGAUUUGAUUGGCUGCAAAUGGUCUCAACAACGAAUUAUAAAAAGUUGAAAACAUAUGGAUUAUGGAUUAGUCCGAAUGCAUUUGGGUGUUUGACCCAUGUGACACGUUUCUUUUUUUCUUUUGGGGUUUGUGGUCAAAAGUUACAAAUUAUUUUA